rnacentral:lncRNA from 1 species
CCAAUGUCCCCUUCAAUUCCUCCAAGCUCCCACUGGAUUUUUGUUUUAUUUUCACAAAUUUUGUGAUUCCAAAGCUUCUCAUUCAACGUUACAAUUUUUUUUUUCCUCAGCCGUGCCCGGGAAUAAUGGGCACGUUCAUAAUGGCUCCUUUUUCCUGAUAAUGCUGUAUUUAAGGGGAAUAUUUAAGUGGAAAAAGAAAAACAAAUGGUUAAAUUAGAUGUGAGUCGUGGCUGAAAAAGGGGUUAAACAUUCCCCAGUGGUGAAUUCCUUCAAGGGGGGCUCUGAAAUCCCCAAAAGCAGCAGGAAGGGUGAGGAAAGGGGUGGCUCCCACCCUUUAUACCCAAAAAUGCUUCAAAAAGGAAAUUUGCAGGUGUCCCAUGGCCACCUGUGCAGCGUGUCCCUUGUGGGGCACCAGAGUCACCCCCAAAACCCCGGGGCCACCAACAUCCUGUGGACAAAGCCGGCCCGUUUUGGGGUGAAUUCCCUCUGCAGCAGGAAUUCCUCAGGCAGGGGGGGUAAAGUGGAACCCCCAAAAUCCCCAUGGGGGGAAAUGCAGGGGGAAGGUCAAAGGGGCUUCGACGAGGCUGAAUUGGGGGUGCAGUCCUGGGACCCCCACACCCGGCCCUUCCCGGCCUCCCCGUGGGCUCCACGCCCCUCCAGCCACCCCAGAACCCCAAAACCUCCCAGGAGAUCCCACAGGAACCCCAAAGAUCCCAGAAGACACAUUCCAAAGAUCCUACAGGAACAUCCUGGAAGAAAGAUCCUACAGGAACAUCCCAAAUAUCCCACAGAACAUCCAAAGAUCUCAAAGGAACAUCCCAAAUAUCCCACGGGAACAUCCCAAAGAUCCCACAGGAACAUCCCAAAGAUCUCAAAGGAACAUCCCAAAGAUCCCAGGGGAACAUCCCAAAGAGUCCCAGGGGAACAUCCAGCAGAUCCCACAGGACCAUCCCAGCUCAGGGAGCCGCUCGCUCUGCCCCAAUUAACGCGCUGCAGUUAAUUACUGGCACAGGAACUCCAGCUCUCGUGGCCGUGCCCGCGGCUCUGCAGGAGGGUCGGUGGGCGCAGGGCGGGCACGCAGGGGCACCCAGGGGUGCCCAGCAGGGCUGGGUGCUCGGGGAGUGUCACUCCGGGGGCUGCCCGGCGUUGAGGGCCAGCAGGACCAUGCUGUGGGCCAGCAGGAGACCUCCGAGGCUGCGGGGCACAGCGGGGUGAGCGACGGGCACCGGGGGCACUGGGGGCACUGGGGGCACUGGGAGAACUGGGAGAACUGGGAGAGGUGGGGCUGGGGUGGGAGUGGCACUGGGAGGCACUGGGGGGGCUGGGGUGGGCACUGGGUGGACUGGGCAAGCACUGGGGGAGACUGGAAGAGAUGGGGCUGGGAUGGGAGUGGCACUGGGAGAACUGGGAGCACUGGGAUGGGCACUGGGAGAACUGGGAGAGGUGGGGCUGGGGUGGGAGUGGCACUGGGGGCACUGGGAGAGGUGGGGCUGGGGUGGGAGUGGCAUUGGGAGAACUGGGAGCACUGGGAUGGGCACCGGGGGCACUGGGAGAACUGGGAGAGGUGGGCUGGGGUGGGAGUGGCACUGGGAGAACUGGGAGAACUGGGAGAGGUGGG